rnacentral:misc_RNA from 1 species
GAUGAAGAACGCAGUGAAAUGCGAUAAGUAGUGUGAAUUGCAGAAUUCAGUGAAUCAUCGAAUCUUUGAACGCACAUUGCGCCCCUUGGUAUUCCAUGGGGCAUGCCUGUUCGAGCGUCAUUUGUACCUUCAAGCUUUGCUUGGUGUUGGGUGUUUGUCUCGCCUUUGCGUGUAGACUCGCCUUAAAAUAAUUGGCAGCCGGCGUAUUGAUUUCGGAGCGCAGUACAUCUCGCGCUUUGCACUCAUAACGACAGCGUCCAAAAGUACAUUUUACACUCUUGACCUCGGAUCAGGUAGGGAUACCCGCUGAGCUUAAGCAUAUCAAUAAGCGGAGGA